AGUGAACGCUGGCGGUAGGCCUAACACAUGCAAGUCGAACGGCAGCACAGUAAGAGCUUGCUCUUACGGGUGGCGAGUGGCGGACGGGUGAGGAAUACAUCGGAAUCUACUUUUUCGUGGGGGAUAACGUAGGGAAACUUACGCUAAUACCGCAUACGACCUACGGGUGAAAGCAGGGGAUCUUCGGACCUUGCGCGAUUGAAUGAGCCGAUGUCGGAUUAGCUAGUUGGCGGGGUAAAGGCCCACCAAGGCGACGAUCCGUAGCUGGUCUGAGAGGAUGACAGGCCAAAAGGGAGCAGAAAAUCGGACCAGAGGCCUAAGGGGGGCAGCAGUGGGGGGGAUGGGAGAAGGGGGGCAGACGGUAUCAAGCCAUGACGCGUGGGAGAAAAAGGCGGUCGGGUUGUACCGCGCUUUUGUUGGGAAAGAAAAACAGUAGGUGAAUACCCCGCUGUUGUGACGGGACCCGAAAAAUAAGAACCGGCGAAUUUCGUG
rnacentral:rRNA from 1 species